GACGAACGCUGGCGGCGUGCCUAACACAUGCAAGUCGAACGGAAAGGCCCUGCUCUUGUUGGGUGCUCGAGUGGCGAACGCGUGAGUAACACGCGUGUAUCCUGCCCUUGUCUUUGGGAUAACUUCAGGAAACUGGGGCUAAUAUCGGAUAGGAGCUCCUGCAGCAUGGUGGGGGUUGGAAAGUUUCGGCUGUUGGGGAUGGACUCGCGGGUUAUCCGCUUGUUGGUGGGGUAGUGGCUUACCAAGGCUUUGACGGGUAGCCGGCCUGGGAGCGUGGACAGCCACAAGAGGACUGAGGGACGGAGCAGACUGCAACGGGAGGCAACAGGCGGAAGUAUUGCGCAGUGAGCGGGAGCCAGAGGCAAAGACGUCGGGUGCGGAAUGACGGCCUACGGGGUGUAAACCGCUUUCGCAUGUGACGAAGCGUGAGUGACGGUAAUGGGUAAAGAAGCAACGGCUAACUACGUG
rnacentral:rRNA from 1 species